rnacentral:rRNA from 1 species
UACGAAGGGGGCUAGCGUUGUUCGGAAUUACUGGGCGUAAAGCGCGUGUAGGCGGGCCGUUAAGUCGGGGGUGAAAGCCCAGAGCUCAACUCUGGAAUUGCCUUCGAUACUGGCGGCCUGGAGCAUGAUAGAGGCGAGUGGAAAUGCGAGUGUAGAGGUGAAAUUCAUAGAUAUUCGCAGGAACACCAGUGGCGAAGGCGACUCGCUGGAUCAUUGCUAACGCUGAGACGCGAAAGCGUGGGGAGCAAACAGG